UUUCGGAUCGUAAAACUCUGUUGUUAGAGAAGAACAAGGAUGAGAGUAAAACGUUCAUCCCUUGACGGUAUCUAACCAGAAAGCCACGGCUAACUACGUGCCAGCAGCCGCGGUAAUACGUAGGUGGCAAGCGUUGUCCGGAUUUAUUGGGCGUAAAGCGAGCGCAGGCGGUUUCUUAAGUCUGAUGUGAAAGCCCCCGGCUCAACCGGGGAGGGUCAUUGGAAACUGGGAGACUUGAGUGCAGAAGAGGAGAGUGGAAUUCCAUGUGUAGCGGUGAAAUGCGUAGAUAUAUGGAGGAACACCAGUGGCGAAGGCGGCUCUCUGGUCUGUAACUGACGCUGAGGCUCGAAAGCGUGGGGGGCGAACAGGAUUAGAUACCCUGGUAGUCCACGCCGUAAACGAUGAGUGCUAAGUGUUGGAGGGUUUCCGCCCUUCAGUGCUGCAGCAAACGCAUUAAGCACUCCGCCUGGGGAGUACGACCGCAAGGUUGAAACUCAAAGGAAUUGACGGGGGCCCGCACAAGCGGUGGAGCAUGUGGUUUAAUUCGAAGCAACGCGAAGAACCUUACCAGGUCUUGACAUCCUUUGACCACUCUAGAGAUAGAGCUUCCCCUUCGGGGGCAAAGUGACAGGUGGUGCAUGGUUGUCGUCAGCUCGUGUCGUGAGAUGUUGGGUUAAGUCCCGCAACGAGCGCAACCCUUAUUGUUAGUUGCCAUCAUUUAGUUGGGCACUCUAGCGAGACUGCCGGUGACAAACCGGAGGAAGGUGGGGAUGACGUCAAAUCAUCAUGCCCCUUAUGACCUGGGCUACACACGUGCUACAAUGGGAAGUACAACGAGUUGCGAAGUCGCGAGGCUAAGCUAAUCUCUUAAAGCUUCUCUCAGUUCGGAUUGUAGGCUGCAACUCGCCUACAUGAAGCCGGAAUCGCUAGUAAUCGCGGAUCAGCACGCCGCGGUGAAUACGUUCCCGGGCCUUGUACACACCGCCCGUCACACCACGAGAGUUUGUAACACCCGAAGUCGGUGAGGUAACCUUUUUGGAG
rnacentral:rRNA from 1 species